rnacentral:misc_RNA from 1 species
GAGGCGUUGCGCCGCGCCGGCAUCGUCGAGCGCAUCGACGCCGACCGCUGGCGCAUCCCCGAGGAUUUCGAGAGCCGGGCAGCCGCCCAUGACGCCGGCCGCAGUGUCCGCGUCAAUAUCCGCGUCCUCUCGGCCUUCGAUCUGGAAAGCCAGAUCGGGGCGGACGGCGCCACCUGGCUCGACCGCCGGCUGAUCGCAGGCGAGGCGUCCG